CUCCCAGGUGCUGUAACUUUAGUCUAGGCUCUGGCUAUACGGCAUUGUGACAUAUCACUGCACUGAUCACCCAGGUGAUAUAACUCUUCUCUAGGAUCUGCCUACUGGGUGCUUUGUGACAUAUCCCUGCAAUGAUCACCCAGGUGAUAUACCACUUGUCAAGGCCCUGCCUACAGGGGCAUUGCGAUGUAUCUCUGCACUGAUCACCUAGGUCAUGUAAAUCUUUUCUAGGCUCUACCUAUAGUGGCAUUGUGACAUAUCUCUGCACUGAUCAUCCAAGUGAUGUAACCUUUCUCUAGGAUCUGCCUAAAGGGAAUUUGUGACAUAACUCUGCACUGAUCAUCCAGGUGAUGGGGCUUUUAUCUAGGCUCUGCCUAAGGGGGCAUUGUGACAUAUUUCUGCACUGAUCACCCAGGUGAAGGACUCUUGUCUUCGAUCGGCCUAUAGGGGCAUUGUGACAUAUUUCUGCACUGAUCACCCAGGUGAUGGGACUCUUGUCUAGGCUCUGUGUAUGGGGACUUUGUGACAUAUCUCUGCAGUAAUCACCCAGGUGAUGUAACGCUUGACUAGGCUCUGCCUACGGGGCAUAGUGACAUAUCACUGCAUUGAUCACUGAGGUGAUGUAACUCUUGUCCGACUCUGCGUAUAGGGGGCCUUGUGACAUAUCUCUGCACUGAUCAUCUAGGUGAUGUAACUCUUGCUUACACUCUGCCUGCAGGGGCAUUGUGAAAUAUCUCUGCACUGAUCACGCAGGUGAUUGGACUCUUCUGUAGGCUCCGCCUCCUGAGGGCAUUGUCACAUAUUUCUGCAAUGAUCACCCAGGGGUAUUGAGACAUAUCUCUG
rnacentral:lncRNA from 10 species